rnacentral:rRNA from 1 species
GGGCGCAAGCGUUAUCCGGAAUUAUUGGGCGUAAAGAGCUUGUAGGCGGUUCGUCGCGUCUGGUGUGAAAGCCCAUCGCUUAACGGUGGGUCUGCGCCGGGUACGGGCGGGCUAGAGUGCAGUAGGGGAGACUGGAAUUCCCGGUGUAACGGUGGAAUGUGUAGAUAUCGGGAAGAACACCAAUGGCGAAGGCAGGUCUCUGGGCUGUUACUGGCGCUGAGAAGCGAAAGCGUGGGGAGCGAACAGGAUUAGAUACCCUGGUAGUCAAGGGCGAAUUCGUU